GUUUGAUCCUGGCUCAGAGCGAACGCUGGCGGCGUGCUUAACACAUGCAAGUCGAGCGAGAAAGGGGGCUUCGGCCCCUGAGUACAGCGGCGGACGGGUGCGUAAGACAUGAGUAACCUACCCCCGAGGCGGGGAUAACCCAGCGAAAGUUGGGCUAAUACCGGAUGAGGCCACGAGGGGAGACUCUGGGGGUUAAAGGCGGCCCCUUCGCGGGGCGGCCCUUCGGGGAGGGGCUCAUGUCCUAUCAGCUAGUUGGUAGGGUAACGGCCUACCAAGGCGAAGACGGGUAGCUGGUCUUAGAGGAUGAUCAGCCACACGGGGACUGAGACACGGCCCCGACUCCUACGGGAGGCAGCAGUGGGGAAUAUUGGGCAAUGGGCGCAAGCCUGACCCAGCGACGCCGCGUGGGUGAUGAAGGCCUUCGGGUCGUAAAGCCCUGUCGGGAGGAAAGAACGAUUCCGCGGGGAAUACCCGCGGGGUGUGACGGUACCUCCGAAGGAAGCACCGGCCAAUUCCGUGCCAGCAGCCGCGGUAA
rnacentral:rRNA from 1 species